AUACGGAGGAUCCAAGCGUUAUCCGGAUUUAUUGGGUUUAAAGGGUGCGCAGGCGGCCUUAUAAGUCAGUGGUGAAAUCUCCCGGCUCAACCGGGAAACUGCCAUUGAUACUGUAAGGCUAGAAUACAGACGAGGUAGGCGGAAUGUAGCAUGUAGCGGUGAAAUGCUUAGAUAUGCUACAGAACACCAAUCGCGAAGGCAGCUUACCAGACUGUAAUUGACGCUAAGGCACGAAAGCGUGGGGAGCGAACAGGAUUAGAUACCCCAGUAGUCC
rnacentral:rRNA from 1 species